rnacentral:rRNA from 1 species
GACGAACGCUGGCGGCGCGCCUAACACAUGCAAGUCGAACGAGCGAGAGAGAGCUUGCUUUCUCGAGCGAGUGGCGAACGGGUGAGUAACGCGUGAGGAACCUGCCUCAAAGAGGGGGACAACAGUUGGGAACGACUGCUAAUACCGCAUAAGCCCACGACCCGGCAUCGGGUAGAGGGAAAAGGAGCAAUCCGCUGUGAGAUGGCCUCGCGUCCGAUUAGCUAGUUGGUGAGGUAACGGCCCACCAAGGCGACGAUCAGUAGCCGUACUGAGAGGUUGAACGGCCACAAUGGGGCUGAGACACGGCCCCGACUCCUACGCGAGGGAGCAGUGGGGAAUAUUGCACGAUGGGGGAAACCCUGAUGCAGCGACGCCGCGUAGAGGAGGAAGGUCUUCGGAUUGUAAACUCCUGUUGUAGGGGAAGAUAGUGACGGUACUCAACAAGGAAGUGACGGCUAACUACGUG